rnacentral:rRNA from 1 species
UACGUAGGGGGCAAGCGUUGUCCGGAAUCAUUGGGCGUAAAGAGCGUGUAGGCGGCCCGGUAAGUCCGCUGUGAAAGUCCAGGGCUCAACCCUGGGAUGCCGGUGGAUACUGUCGGGCUCGAGUCCGGAAGAGGAGUGUGGAAUUCCUGGUGUAGCGGUGAAAUGCGUAGAUAUCUGGAGGAACACCGGUGGCGAAGGCGGCAUCCUGGACCGGUAUUGACGCUGAGGCGCGAAAGCCAGGGUAGCAAACGGG